rnacentral:misc_RNA from 1 species
AAGUCGUAACAAGGUUUCUGUAGGUGAACCUGCAGAAGGAUCAUUAGUGAAUUACUAGAGCGUCCUUUGGGAGCUCGAAAACCACUUUUAAACACACCACCCUUAACGAGAACUGUAUAUUUUUAACGCCGCUAGUAGUAUCAGUAAGGCUCCUGUGCAUACAGGCAAAAUUAAACAAAUAAAACUUUCAACAACGGAUGUCUUGGCUCUC